CAUUUUUCCAAUCAAUUUAGACAAGGACAGCAGAAUGAAGUAGAAAUAGAUGAAUGACCUGACUUGGCUUAGAGAAAAUGUGCAACAUUCUCUUCCUUCUUGGAGCUGGUAAAAUUCAUGCCAAAAGUCACAAAGCUUAACUGAGACAAUCGUCUGAAGGCAUUGCGGAAGAGUAUGAAAAGAGGUAUGCCUGGAAAUGAAUGGGAAAGUCAGUCACCGCCAGUAAUACAUUAAAAAUGUCACAGCAGAUGAAGAGCAGGCUUUGGGCAACACAAACCAAGAGGUAUGGUCUUCAGCCUUCCUGGAAUUUAAAUAAGGUUACUGAAUAAUACAUGUUUAUCUUAGAGAUCAUUCUUAAUUUGCCUGAUUCGAAUCUUUUUGUUCCAUUCCCUGCUUUAAACUUCUACAGAAGCCAAGAGUGUCUCAUAAGUACGAGUAGCUGUUCAUGAUGUGUCAACAUAUGAAAAGUACUGAAAGAGCAUUUUACUGAAUGCAUUAGCUAUUACAGUGUAGAUAAAUGGGAAUGAACAACUGGGGAAAAGACAAGAAUAACAACCAGCAUCUUGGCUCCCUUCACAGAUACAGAAGACAAAUAGAUUUUAUUAAAAUUAGGGGCGCCCUAAAGAACAAUUACCUGGUAAACACGGCAUUGCCAUUUUACCUGAGGGUGUUUGGAUAUCUUAGAGGUGACUACUUGUCUGUUGUGGUGGAGAUUUGUAAAUGAGCUGCUCUAAAAAGCCUCCACUGUACUUGUGACUAAAUUCAGACAAGUAAUUUUGAUUCUCAAGAAUGAAAGCAGAGGAGAAAAUUAAUUAGAAGAUGCUUUUCUAGUUAAAAUUCUAAUCAUUGUUAAAAUUUAUGUAUGCAUUUCAGUACUUAAUACAUGUGGGAAUCAUGACCCAAAUACCAAAAUCCACCUAUUCAUCUUCACAUUUCUUAUGACCAUGGAGGUCAUAAAAUGCUGCCUCUAUAUUUCAGUAGAAAAAUAGAAGGUGUUAUGUAUUGAACUGUGAACAAUAUUUAUGUAUGUAUUUGUGUGCAGACAGUAAGUAGCUACAUUUGCCUUAAUGUGUCUGCAGUUUGAAACUUGUGAAUUAUACAUAUCACUGGUGCCAAGAGUCUUAAAAAUGAUUAAAAUUAUGUAGUUUAAGUUUCUAAGAAAACAUACUUCUGUCUAGAAAACCUGGAAAACUGGCUUAGAUCUCAAAGAUGAUUUCAGGAGAUAAGAUCUAUUCAAUUAAAUGACUGCACUGAAUUCAGUGAUGGCAUACAUCAUGCAAAUCUUUUUUUGAAAGCAAUGGAGGUUACACCUACUAAUACCAUAGCUCAAUUUAGCUUUCACUGCUAAAGGUGCUUGAAGAAGAAUUCAUGUUUAUGCAAAGACUGAAGCUCCUUGCAAUUUUAAUGUCUUACUUUCACCAAUUCAAAUAUGUCAGAUAUCUUGGUGCCUAAUUGGAAUAAUUUUCUCAUUACUCAUAAUUAAUUUCUAUUUUAUUAAGUAUGUAAUUUGUAUCUGUUCAGGAGAGGGUUAAAAAUUUCUGUGUCAAUCAUGAUAGUUUAUACAGCAGACACAAUCCUCAUAAAGAUCUCUGGGUCUCUGUUGCUGUGAGUCUAGGCUAUAGUUAUGCUUAUGCAUAGCUUUCUAACUAGAGAUAUGAAAGAAGUGCAUCUAAUGUUUAAAGAAUAAAAAUAAUACAGUAUAUACCAGCUCAUGUUUCUGAUAAGAAGGAUGAUUCAAUUAAUUCCAAAAGUCCUAGUCUGUCUUGUCCACACAGAACUUACAGUACGUAGUUCUUGUGUACUUAUUCAUCUAGAAAUCAAAAGCAUCAGACUUUUCAAAGGAUCAAUUCAGAUAGACACACUACAUUACAGGCAUUCAUGAAACUUGCUUUAUAAAAUAAAGAAUAAAAUGUUAGAAUUCUGACAGAACAAGCUACAUAAUUAUUCAUUCAGUUACCAAUGUAGCAUGGGAGAAGGUGAAAAUUUACAUAUCAUCCUCUUUGUGUUCAUACCAAAUUAGUUUAUCUUAUUUUUUUCCUCAUCUUCCUGAUAAAUGCUGGGCCACCUUUUUACCAAAAAACUGAGCAGCAGAGAGUAGGAGUUUACUAAUCCAUGAUCCACCCACAAAUUUUAAGCAGAUUUACCUCUUAGACUUGCUUUUUCUGUUGAGAUGGAUGUCUGGAGGAUUUACUCUCCCAUUUAUUCUUUCAUGUUUUGAAUCCAAGAAUAGCAGAGUGGGAGGUGGUACAAAGUGAGGAAGAGAUGGUAGGUAGCAGUGACUAUUGGAGCUUCAGCAUUUCUGGCAUAUAAGAACAUCACCACUUCAGCAAGCACUUGUGAUCAUUUCAUAUCAAGGAAUAUCUGUGAAGUUCAGAGCUGUAUUUAUUACCUCAUGCUCUCGACAGCUAAAUAUGAUCCCAAACUCCUGAUUAUGCUGACUCUACAAAGUUAUGCACUCCUUGUCUUUAUUAAUAGCUAAGAUACGAAAGUAAUGCCUCCUAUUUUAUGAAGUUGGCCCACAACGUCAGAGGUGAAUAUUGGUGGGAUGGCAGUAGAGGCAGAACCUUCCCACCAAUAUUCCAUUGCAUUUUGUUGACGUAUGACAGAUGGCAGCAGAGAGGCAGUCUGACAAGAUAGUGUCUGCCAUGGAAAUGUAUAUGGAGCAAAGGUGUGGAAUUGCAUUCCACCACGUGAAAAAAAUGGCACCAACUGACACACAUCAAAGCUUGCUGAAUGUUUCUGGAGACAAAACAGCGGAUGUUGGCACAGUGAGGUAAUGGUUGGUGUAUUUAAGUAGUGGUGAUGGUGGGUCAUCUCCAGUGGUGAAGAUUUUUAUGAAUGUGGCACACAGGCUCUUAUUUAUUGCUGGUGAAUACACUGCAAAAUAGUGUUUCCUAGCUGAGAAGAUGCUCUAUCAAGUAAUGUUAUUUUUCCCUUUCUAUUUGUUGUAAUUCUCAUGGAAAUAAAUAGGAGGCAUCACUUUCAGAGUGACCUGUGUAUCUCCACAACGAGCUUCUCUUCAGUGCUCAGAACAGAUAUCUACUGUCGGGAAAUCUACUUUUUCGGAAGAUUCCACACAUGUUCCAAAAACUACUCCAGAAAUACUAUUCUGAAUUAUGUUCUGAAGAUGUACUGGAUCUUUUCUGGUUGGUUUGGAGACAGCAAAGAAGGAAUCAACCUAAUAUUACACCAGCAGGGAUAAAAAUGCGCAGGGACUGUUCUGCUGACAGAUCUAUUUGGACAUACUGCAAAUUCUGGCCGUGUCUCAUCACUCUCCAAAGGCUAAAAAGAGCACAUGUCCUGAAGUGGCUAAGCAAACUGAUGACUCCCCUAUACCACAGGAUCACCAGAUGUUCUCUGCAAGCAGCUUAAGGAUUGCUUCUCACUGCUGGGCCACAGGAAAGAGCUGAGGAUCUGUCAUGGCUUUAGAAAUUAUUUUCCUUGUAAGCGUAUUCCAUGGCUUUGCUUUUUGUCCAGAAACAGAGGCCUAUUUGACAAUAAAGCCUUUAAUAUAUAUGAACAGAGAUGAGUGUUGAGCUUCCCUUUAUCUCAACAAAUACUAGGGCUGGUCCUUCUACAAAGCCAACAAAGUUUGUCCCAGAACUGGAAGGAUCCAGUUUUUUUCUUUUCUGUCUGACUCAAAGGUCUUUAAUUCCAGCUAGAAUUGUAAAGACUUUGGAGGAAGGAAGACAACAAUACCUCUAAGCAACAUAGUAGAAGAAGCAAGGGUGGAGAACAGCCCUCAAAGGGAUUAUAAAACGAAGUGAAAAGGAGCCAAGACAUUGCCCAUAAGAUGUUAUCCUUGUGGGACUGUGAGAAAUGGAAGAGAAACUCAGUUCUUUCUCAAUAGAUAUUACUCCAAAAGCACCCAAGGAACCUCGUGGUAUCUGAGCUCCCAGGCCUGGGCCUUCCCAGCAAGCACACUGCUGAUGGGACAGCCUGGGCCUUCACAUACCAGCACACACCAUGAGGAAAUCAGCUCAGCAGUUCUCUUUCCAAACACUGUGCUGUCACGUCCAUCUUCCCCACAUGUCAAAAAUUACGUUUAAAGUACUGAAAGCUAGCAACUCUGGAAAACAAUAAAAUCCAUGAAAUGGUGACUGAUAAGACAAAAAUGCAGCAUUUAGCUCUAACUGCCCACAAUUAAGUUUUCAAAGGCCUGACUGCUGACUGAAAAUAGUCAUCUUCUCCCAGUCAUCUUCUCCCAGGUUUUUUGCUUUUUUUUUUUUUUUUGGAACAAAUUUGACAAUUAAGGGUGAUAUUCCUUUGUCAAAACAAGUCUUUUGUUAAGUAUUUAACAGGCACUUUAGAGAUUCUGGCAAAGCACUGAAUUUUUGUGCAGUUUUUCUGGAGAAGAAACCUACAUUUUGCCAAAUGCUGUAAACUGGGAUGAGAAAACAACUCACAGUUUUGCUUCUGGAUUUAAGAAAAUAGUGAAUCGGCACAUAGGAUGAAGAGAGUAUAAACAAAGACAGUGUUUUUAAAGCCUGAUCAAAGCUAGAAAAUAGGUAAAAAUAUACGUAACUAUAUGUAUAUAAACACCAAUACUUUUUACUGCAUAGAAAUUUUACAUUUAUAUAUAUUUCCAUAUAUGAGAUUCAUAUACACAUCUUACAACAAAGUUCAAAGACGUGGACCACCAUCUCAUGCUGAUUGCUGAAGGAAGAAGAAGCAGAAGGAUAAAAAUCCCCAUUAUUUCUUAGGUGCCCUACCACAGAUUUUUAAAGAAUAGCAUGCACACACACAACACACACACAGACAUAACUCUGGAGAGGAAAUCUGUUUAUGGUAGAGAAGAAAACAGGCAGCACCUCUGUCAAUUGUGCUUUGGCAGUAUAAUAUCGUAUUGCUUCAAGCCAGUAUUUUUUCACAAUGUCCAUUCCCUGUGAAGCAUUGAAAAAUUCUGACGUCUCUGGAGCACAAAGCCCAAAAAUAAAAUAAAAUAAAAAUUAGGUAUUUCUUGCAAGCAGCAAACUCCGCCAUACAUGUGGUACAGCAAAUGAGUCAAAAGUGGAUCAUACCUAGGCCUGAAAACUCUAUAGCAAAUCAGAGCAAAAAAUUUUUCAACAAAUUAGCUUAAAAUAUUGUAAUUACAGACUGAUUUUGAAGUCUUUUAAAGGUAUUCCUGUAUACAUUUCUGCUAAGCAAAAUAAUCACAGGGAAAAUAUAACUGGUAAUCAUUUUUUUAAAGAUAGCAGAUGUUAUUACACUAAGAACAAGAUAACUUUGUUUCUGCAUAAGAUAGGAAGGCGGUCAAAGUAAUAUAUAUAUUUUUUUCUGUCUGUGAAAGGAGUUUGGAUGGGUAUGUGAAUAAAAUAAAAGCUUGCAAAAAUAUUCUUUUUUCUUUUACUUGAUCUGCCCAAGAAGAAAAAUAGAAAUAAAAGAAGUCCUAAAGUAGUUGUCACUUUGAAAUUUCCCAGUGUUUCAAUUAAAAGCUUCAGAGUCUGGCAAAAUUUGUCAAGCUUCCCUUUGAAAAUAAAGGCUGGCUUAACCUUCAAGGGAGUUUCAUUAGGUUGUUAAAGUAGCCCUAACCUAAAGUUGUGCUAAACAGAAAGGUAAGACAGUGUGCUUCAGAUCCUUUUGAAGUCAAUGGAAGUAUUCUCAUGGUCUUCAGUGGUCUUUGACUUCAAACUCAUAAUUCUAAAUUUAGGCUCAUUUAUAAUUGUUCCUUUUGCUUAAUUAACCACUCUAUAAUUAGAAUUUUUUACUUUGGAAUCAGAAUACACAGAGAGAAGUAUUCUGUCUCUCAUAUGUAAACUCGUUCUUAGUCCAGGAAAAACACCUUUUCAACUACUUUUGGCUAAGACCAUUUUCAUUAGAAGAAUGAGGGAAAAGGUCUGAGGAAAACAAAAACUGAAAAAGAGGAGAAAGGAGCUGCACAGAGGACUAGCUGGAUGAUAAAAAAAAAAAAAAAGAGAGAGAAGAUCUAUAUUAAGACAAAACAGGUAAGAUUAAAGAGAAAAAAAUGGUGUCAUAAAGUAAAAUAGGUCAAAAUUCAGAAUUUUAUUUGCUCAUUCAUUAUUGAAGUCAAAAUUAUUAACAGUCAUGCCCUAGAUCCAAACUAACAUAAAUGAGGGCAAAAUUUGACUAAGAUUGUGACUAGCAUGCAAAAUGAUUAGCCCAGCUAUAAACUCUGUCUUCCGAGAAAUUUUAAGCAUUAAGCCCUCUUGUUUUUGUCAGUCCUUAUUCAGAAUUGCUGAGACAAGACCUCAGGAACUGGUGGACUGCAGAAUCUAUUAGGAACAUUUUGGUGGGAAUGGCUGCUACUCCUGGAGCUUUACCUUUUUAACAAAGAAGGUUCUUUUAAGAUUGAUACUUGGAAAGGAUUGAUAUCACAAGAAAAAAAUGGUCAUUAACAAGGCAAUCUUGUUUUGUUUUUCUUAGAUGCAGCUUUAAAGGUGAGAUCUGCAUACCACAAGAUGAGGACAAUAGGACCCAUCCAGACAGCUAAUGUGAUUCGCCAAUGUAAGCUGCAAGACUUCAGUUCUCGGUUGCAGUUGCAUUAUUACACCCUAUGCUCUGUAUGGGGAAACAAUUAAAACAGGUUUGGCAUACUAGAGGUAAGAAAGCCCAAGUGACUGAUGAAGAGAUUCCAUAGAUAAACUCACAAUGUCUACAAAAGGAAUGCCUUUGGCAUGCUAGAUAAUAUUUGAGAUUAAUUAGCAGUUUGUCUAAUAAAGCUGUAGCCAGACAUCUUUAAUCCAAACACCUUUGUAGAGCACAUUUAUAUGCAGAGCGUAGAUAAUUACCAAAAGUAUUAUUUCAUAAUAAGAAAGCCAAAUUCAUUUAUGAAAUAAUAUACAUGAGUUAAUACAUGAAAAUGAAGAAUAAUAUACACUUCCAUGUAACAUAAAAAUAACUGUACAUGCCAGACACUUUUGACAAGAUCUCCUGGAUGCUUAAAAAGCACAAUAAACAUCUGUUUUAUAUCUGAAUGCCAAACCUUAAAAAAGCACUCCUUUGUUAAUAUUCUAGCUCCUUAUUCAAACUAAAUUACUAGGUAUUUAUAAAAUUUCAUUCUCUUGUGAAGUAGCAGUAAACAGGAGAGAUACAGAACCCAGUAAAUUGAAAAUGUAGGCUUCAGCUGUCAAAAUGUCACUGGUAAAAUUCAAACUGCUCUGCUGGUAUGAAUUGGCCCAAUGACAUAAACGUACUCACCAUUUGAGGGAAACAUGAAUGAGUUUAGGAGAAAAACUAGAAUUUCCAAAUAACUCAUGUUUAAACUAAGGAAAAAAAAAAGUACAAAAGAAAAGAAAGCAAAGAGGAAUUUGAGUUGAGGAUGUCAAUCUCUUUACUGCAAUGUAAUAGAAUAAAUACUCUGAACUGUAAAAUGAUCUUUUCUGAUUUUUUGAUUACAUCUGAACAAUUUUUGUGAUUAUAACUCUCAUCCUCUCUCUCCCUCUUUUUCAUUUUUUUUAUUUUAUUAUUAUCAUUAUUAUUUUUGCAGAAAACACCAGAAUAUGACAUUGCUGCAUAACAUAGAAGACCUUCUCUUGCUUUUAUGUACAUAUUUGUUGCAAAGAAGAAUAAGAAAGUGUUUAAGGAAUAUAUUAACUCCCCUACAGUUCCUUAAAAUGAAAGUAUGGGCUAUGAAUUAUGUACACCUCUCUGUAAGGACCAAAGCCUGACAAAAAAAAGAAACAGAAGAUUUGCAUUCAGAGACGUCUCUAUUUUAAUAGAGAAGGAUUUUACCCAAAAGUACGUGCUACUGUGUGACAGACAGCUGCUUGACUGGCAAGAGGGAAGCAGAUGACUACCUGAUGAUGGCCAAUUUUCCUGCAGCUCAGCUGGAGGGCUUCUAGUCCAAGCCAAGUUGUCUUGGCUCCCUCUAUAGUCCAAAUAAAGAAAAAGGCACUUCUGGAGAGCAGCUGUUCUCAUACCACACGUUUAUCUUUGGUGCACUGAUGCCUCUUGAUCCCCAGCGUGCUGCAGAGGGGACCUUGAUGAGCAUCUUAGACAAGAACUCAAGUAUUUGACAGUCAACACCAGGUGAGAUGAACUAUAAUGACUGGUGCAACUGAUACACGUAGUUAAUGCCAAAGUACACCUGUGCCCAUUAAUUUAGUCACAUGCGUCAGGCUUCAAAAAUCCAGAUGAGCACUUGAGAUUUGAUUCAAGCUUUAUAACUAUCUGUUUCAUAUUUGAAUCAAAAGUGGCUAUAAAGUGAAAUGUGAGAUUCUCAUAUGUAUGUUACAGUGUUAUGAAAACAGCCAGCUGAGAGGGCAAAACGAGGCAGCGCCUUAUAACUUUUCCUCAUCACAGAGAGGCAUGAAGCAAGCCUGUAGUUUGCAUUUUGCCUACAGCCCUCUCCAAGAAAGAGGGUGGAUGGUUGUUUUCAAUUGUUCAGCUUUGGUGCAGGUCUUUGCAAACCAUAAUUUGAAAGUAAUUGUGGUAAUUACUGCAACUGAAAAAGUUAAAAUGUGCAAGUUCAAUUUUGCUCAGGUAAAGCUGUGCCAGUAAUGGCACCAUUCAUCAUUUUCUGUAAAAACAGUAACAGGUGUUAAUCUACACUCACUGAUGGGAGCAAUGUGAGUGCACAAUAAGCAAAGUGCCAAAAAAAAAAAAAAAAAAAAAACCCACCACCAAAGUACUGUCACCGAGAAAGAACUUCUAGUAAUGUCUUUGUAAUUGGACUCAACUGAAGAGUGAAAAAUUAUUUGACUUUUCAGUGAUGGAGAUUGCUAAUGAACCCAAUUUUUCUCUUCCACCUUGAUUAGCUUUCUGUAGGAAGAUCCAUUGUAGCUCUGCACAAUGAAGCUUGCAGGAAUAGACACCCAGCUGCUGUAAUUUUAUCAGCCCUCCCACUUACUGAAAAGUAAUCUUUUUUCUUUUUUUUUUUUUUUCUUCUUUGACAGGCUGUUGAACUAACUGUUACUAGGUUUUCAAACAUAAUGGAAAACAGUGGGAAGUAGAAUUUAAAUAGGACUUGAACAGCAAUUUUGCAAUUUUUCCAGCCUUAACAGAAACUUUAUAAGACUUCUAAAUGCCUCACACAUCCUGUCCUCCCAAGGUUCUGGAUGUUACUUGUGAGAUACCCUUGGACUAGGGUUGUGUCUUCUGCUCAUUGCUGUACAGAGCUAUCUUAUGGAGCAAGAGGAUAGCCAAAAUAUCCUGUGCUUUGUGUGUGAACUUACUAAAUGGCAUCCAAUUUAUCUACAGAGAACAUUUAAGCAAGCAGAAAAGUAUUUCCCAUUGUGUAUGCACAAUCAGACUGGUACACUGCACAGUUAGUUUCUGCUAUGAAUUCCAGAGAGUUCAAAAGGUAACAUUAGUUGCACCUAUGUGGUUUUGCUCAAGUAAAUGAGGACAUUUUCUCUGCACAGUGCCCACACUUUCGCUACUAGCAGCUACUUCUAGUUGUGCACAGCCAAGAGCCAUUUUCUUUCAAAAUAUGUUCCAUGAUCCCAAACUUUUCUGCGUGGACUUAUUUGGGAAAGAACAAAGC